AACUGCUUUUAUAUAGGAAGAAAAACUUUCUCGUGAGAAAGCUUGACGGUACUAUAAGAAUAAGGAUCGGCUAACUCCGUGCCAGCAGCCGCGGUAAUACGGAGGAUCCAAGCGUUAUCCGGAAUCAUUGGGUUUAAAGGGUCCGUAGGUGGACAAAUAAGUCAGAGGCGAAAUCCUGCAGCUCAACUGUAGAACUGCCUUUGAUACUGUUUGUCUUGAGUUAUUAUGAAGUGGUUAGAAUGUGUAGUGUAGCGGUGAAAUGCAUAGAUAUUACACAGAAUACCGAUUGCGAAGGCAGAUCACUAAUAAUUAACUGACACUGAGGGACGAAAGCGUGGGCAGCGAACAGGAUUAGAUACCCUGGUAGUCCACGCCGUAAACGAUGAUCACUAGCUGUUUGGACUUCGGUCUGAGUGGCUAAGCGAAAGUGAUAAGUGACCCACCUGGGGAGUACGUUCGCAAGAAUGAAACUCAAAGGAAUUGACGGGGGCCCGCACAAGCGGUGGAGCAUGUGGUUUAAUUCGAUGAUACGCGAGGAACCUUACCAGGGCUUAAAUGUUAGGUGACAGAUCUAGAAAUAGAUUUUUCUUCGGACACUUAACAAGGUGCUGCAUGGUUGUCGUCAGCUCGUGCCGUGAGGUGUCAGGUUAAGUCCUAUAACGAGCGCAACCCCUGUUGUUAGUUGCCAGCGAGUAAUGUCGGGAACUCUAGCAAGACUGCCAGUGCAAACUGUGAGGAAGGUGGGGAUGACGUCAAAUCAUCACGGCCCUUACGUCCUGGGCUACACACGUGCUACAAUGGUAGGUACAGAGAGCAGCCAAUGCGCGAGCAUGAGCAAAUCUAUAAAACCUAUCUCAGUUCGGAUCGGAGUCUGCAACUCGACUCCGUGAAGCUGGAAUCGCUAGUAACCGGAUAUCAGCCAUGAUCCGGUGAAUACGUUCCCGGGCCUUGUACACACCGCCCGUCAAGCCAUGGAAGUUGGGAGUGCCUGAAGUCCGUUUCCGCAAGGAUCGGCCUAGGGUAAAAUCGAUAACUAGGGCUAAGUCGUAACAAGGUAGCCGUACCGGAAGGUGCGGCUGGAACACCUCCUUUCU
rnacentral:rRNA from 1 species